rnacentral:rRNA from 1 species
UACGAAGGGGGCUAGCGUUGUUCGGAAUUACUGGGCGUAAAGGGCGCGUAGGUGGCUUGGCAAGUUGGGUGUGAAAGCCCAGGGCUCAACCCUGGAAUUGCACUCAAGACUGCUUUGCUUGAAUUCGGUAGAGGUUGGUGGAAUUCCCAGUGUAGAGGUGAAAUUCGUAGAGAUUGGGAAGAACACCCGUGGCGAAGGCGGCCAACUGGACCGACAUUGACACUGAGGCGCGGAAAGCGUGGGGAUCAAACAGG